rnacentral:lncRNA from 1 species
GUAAGGUCCUCUUAGCCCCGCGGGCGCCUCCAACGCUCAGUCCCCGUGUCCCUCCCCCCCCCCGUGCGCCGCCCCCCCCCCGGUGCGCCGCCCCCCCCCCCCCCCGUGCGCCUCCUACCUUCUGGCUUUUCUGCUACCUGGUCCCACACUACAGAGGCACAGGAGAUUAUAAAGACCCUUGUCCUGAGCGCCACAAGAUAGAGCAGAAGUUAGCAACAGAAAGAGGGCUUCUCAGGCUCCUCGAAGAAAACAAGCUCAGCAGAAAAGUAAAGAGAAUCUCUGCAAUAAAGGCACAUCAGACCACUGUACUUGGUCUGCUGCUGUCUUGCCACACAUUCCUCAGAGGGAUGGAGAGGAUUUGGAUCCUUCUCACAGAGCAUAAAUAGUAUUAUGAAGAGCCAUUUAAGAAAUGGACAAUGGAAAUGUGGAAUCUGAGUGUGGAGAAGAAAGGCCUGAAGGCAGCAGGAUAAGAUUCUGUAUCUUUGAAUAGAAGACAACCUUUAUGUGCCUCAUGCCUGAUGCUGGUGAGACUUCCCAAUGUCCCUUCCAUGUACCUUCCCUUUACCUAAACUGGCUUAAGGGGAUAUUUGCUUCUUGCAUCGACCAAAUUCUAACUAGGAUGAAAACACCAUGGGCCAUAGCACAAGAAGUGAACCAGAAGUGAAGUUUGGUUUGGGGCUCAGUGCAUGAAGAGUUCUUUGCAAAGAAGCAGUGGAGAGGGUUCGAUCACAACCAACAGAUCUCUACUAUGAGAAUCAAGAGAUAUUUUUUUAUGAGCAUAAUGUCUGGGCUGGAC